rnacentral:lncRNA from 1 species
GACUUUAUAAAGAAUGGAGGACCAAAAGCAAAGCUGCCCUUCAUCCCGGAAGAGUCAGAAAGACCUUCUACAAAAUGAGGAACUCACAUGGCCUCAGACGUGCUCUCUAGCCAAGGAUAACCUUUAACUUGCUGAGCCUCUAGGAAGACCACAGCAUAUACCCAAGCUUCCUGCAAAAACUCCUCAAAUUACAAUCUCUUCUGGACCAGAGCUGCCCUUCACGUGCUGGGAUUGCAGCAAGAAAAACAAAACCAGAAGGAAGGGGUGAGAGAAAAAAAAAAAAAAAAAAGCAAAUGGGGAACUGAAAAAUUAUUGAAGGGCUGGUGAGGUGACUCAGUGGAAAAAGGAGCUUGCUGCCAAGUCUGAAGACCAGAGUUCAAUUCCCAGGACCCACCUGGUGGAAGUUGUCUUCGAACUGCCCCAUGAAUAUUCAAACACAAGCAUGUAUAUUCAUACAAAAUAAAUAAAUAUAAUAUAAAAAAAUAAA